AGAAAUGACGGAACUUUGACAUUUCAAUUUCAGACAAGAAAAAUAACAAUAACAAAAGAAGUCCUUUUGGCUGUCACUGACAAGCUUCGAGCCACAACCAAAACAAAAGACAACGAUGAAGGUGACGAGAAAGACACUUUCUGGGGCGAGGUGUGUCAGGAGCUUGGAAUAUCCGAUUCCAAGACCAAUAGGACACGGCUUCAUCAUGCCUAUAAUCAUCAUAAAAAGAUGAGACACAAGACACAGAUGGUGACCGCAGCACCUGCCAGCCCAUCGACAGACAGUGACCACACGGCCUGCCCCAUCGACAGUGACCACAGUUCCACUGACAUUGACCGCACAGUGCCUGCUACCCCAUCGUCGGUUAGACAGGCAUUCACAGAGACGAGUGAACCAGAAGACGUUUCAGAGUGUAAUUCAUCAGGGACAUAUGACUCCUCAUCACACUCAAAAGAUGGGCAACUCUUACACUCAUUUAAAUUGCCUUCAAAUCCUUCAUUUUUUUUUGUCACUAAAAGUGACUGGAAGAAACUGAGGAUGAGACAACAUAAGCGUCGAUUCAAAUCUUUAAACUGGACUUCAGUCAUGGCCACUGGCAUCCGGAGUGUCCACCCACACUGUUGCUUUGUCUUCAAAUCUCACAGUGUGCGAACAGUUCGGUCAAAAAGGAAAGGGUCACUUUUUUCAUGUGUUGGCUACUGUCGAUUUGAUGACUGUCCUGUGGAGGUCGAAGUUGACAUUGAGGAUGAGUCAUCCCUUAAGGCAGUUGUGACCUUCAGAGGUGAAAA